rnacentral:lncRNA from 1 species
ACUCGACUCGACGCGCCUGACCCAACCUCCCCCUUUUAAAUUAAAAACCUAGCUAAGACCAAGAGGAAGGAUCGGUUCCUUAGACCUCUUGAGAAGCGAAACGACGCUCCCUUCUUCUCCUUCUAUAGAAAUCCAAGCAAAAUCAUACCUUUCCUCUCCAAAAUUGCACACAAAUAGACCCCUCUUCUUUUUUUCUUCAUUUUCAUUUUUUCGAAAACACACACAGAGAAAAUCAGAACCCCGAUGUUUCUGCGCAAUUUGCCAGCGCCAAAACAAAAAAAAAGUAAUAACUCUUUCUUCUCCAACCAUCUUGCUCAUGAGAUCAGAUCGGAAGUUGAGAGUAAAUAACUGAAAACCAAAAUAUUCAGCAAUAAAAUUGAAUUCGUGCUCUGCAAAUACUGCUCUAUUUUUUUUUUUGUUGAUUUUCGUUUUCAAAUCAGAGUGUUGCUUUGGCGGCCACUUCAAAUAUACUGGGAAUGUCGAAAUAUUUGAGUUGGUUUUUUUUCAAGGCUAAAUCGAGAGCUAAGAAGGCUGCUCGUUGUUGCGGGUUGCAACUUUGCUGGACUCCUAGUUAAUUUCUUUGCUUUUCCAAGUUAGCCUUCAUUCAGGAGUUGGGUACUUCUGCUCUCUUCAAGUGAGGUACAUCUUUUGAAUCUUGAAAUUACAUUUGGAUAUAUAAAUAUACUUGAUCUGGUUUGAUGUCUUACUUCAACAAGAUUUAUGAUUUGCUUAAACUGCACCACCAUCUCCAUUGGACAAAUAUAUUAUUUAUGGCAUCAUUAUAUUGUGUGCAAAUCAACAAUGAGGUGUUAUACUUGCAUAAAUAAAUUUUUCCCAUCAAUGAAUCAGUUAGUUGAUUAACAACUGGAAGCAAUUAACAAACAGACUUGGUUGAAUUCACGAUACUGAGAUGUUAAUUGAGCGUUUGUAAGGAAGAAACAAUAAAAAAAUUCCUAGUUUCAUGAUUAUUUCUUUCAGUUGUUGUUUAUAAUAAUAUUUACCAUGGAUUAACUUGCUAAAAAAAAAUUUUAAAAGUUUGAAGCUCAAAACUAUUGAAAACAGUAAGAGGGCGUAUGUAUUUUAGCAGGAUAUAUAUGAUAUUCGUUAGCUGCUAUUUCUUGCUGACUCUAUAUGGUAUUGAAGUUUAGCCAUGAAUGUUUUUCCCUUUGUUUCGUUACUUUAGGUAGUUAUUUGGCAUUUUGCUUCCUCAUGUUUAGAUUGUUGUUAUCCAAAUGUUUGUCAUAAUAGGUGCUUAUACAUAUUCUGGAUGAUUUUAAUUUGUCUUAAUAGUUGCUUAUACAUGUUCUGAAAGAUUAUAGUAAUUUUAAUUCCUCAAAAUACUCUUUUCAUCAAAUAAGUUCAAUCAAUAACCCAUGGUCCUCACUUAAUUAAUUUUAAUCCUUUAGAAAUCGAGGUGUGCCAUUUAGUUGAAUUUUCCAUGGCCCUCGCAAACUUGAAAGUGCGUAGUAGCUUUAGGCGCAUAAUUUAAAUUACCUUAAACUCGGGUGUGCAUUUCAUGUGACCCAAAUCGAAAUCUCAACAACGUUAAAUAAAAUGUGUCAAGGACUGCGGGUGCAUUUCAUGUGGCGUGGCUCAAGACAUGUUUUAGAUAACGUUGAAUCUUCCUAAAACUAAUUAAAAGCGGAUAAUAAGUUAAAAAUAUACCAUAGGCUAAAACAUGUAAUAAAUCAGAUAAUAGACCAAUUAUAAUAGUUUAAGCGACCGUGCUAGAACCACGAAAUCCAAGGGUGCCUAACACCUUCCCUCGGGUUAGCAGAAUUCCUUAUUCAGAAUUUCUAGUUCGCAGACUUUAAAAGGAAAGUUGAAUUUUCCUCGAUUUGGGAUUUAAAAAUAAACCGGUGACUUGGGAUACCAUAAAACAAACCAUCCCAAGUGGAGACUCUGAAUAAAAUAAAUAAAUAAUCUCAUUUUGAAUAAUGUCACUUAAAGUGGAAAAACUCCCUUCUACUACCUUCAGGUAGUGUAAAAAGGAGGUGUGACACGUGGUAUUAAUGAUGCAGGGUAGGGUAUGUGGACCCAAUGUUGAUGGGCUUUGGGGGUUGAUUCUAGAGGAGGCCCAUAGUUCGCGAUAUUCUAUUUAUCUGGGUGUCGCGAAGAUGUACCAGGAUUUGAGAUAGCACUAUUGGUGGAGGCGGAUGAAGAAGGAUAUAGUUGGGUUUGUAGCUCGGUGCCUCAAUUGUCAGCAGGUAAAGUAUGAGCACCAGAGAUCGGGUGGGUUGCUUCAGUAGAUAGAGAUUCCGGAGUGGAAUUGGGAGCGGAUCACCGUGGACUUCGUAGUUGGACUUCCACGGACUUUGAGGAAGUUCGAUGCCAUUUAGGUGAUUGUGGAUAGGCUGACCAAGUCCGCGCACUUCAUUCCUUUGUGUACUACCUAUUCUUCGGAGCGGCUGAUAGAGAUUUAUAUCCGGGAGUAUGUUCGUCUGCAUGGUAUUCCAGUUUCCAUCAUUUUAGGCUUAGGUAAACAGUUCACAUCCUGGUUCUGGAGGGCCGUACAACAUGAGUUGGGUACUCGAGUGGAGUUGAGCACAUCAUUUCACCCUUAGACGGACGGACAAUCCGAGCGCACUAUUCAGAUCCUUGAGGAUAUGCUCCGUUCAUGUGUGAUGGAGUUUGGAGGUUCUUGGGAUCAGUUCCUGCCAAUAGCAGAGUUUGCCUACAACAACAGUUAUUAGUUUAGCAUUCAGAUGGCAUCGUAUGAGGCUUUGUAUGGUAGGCGGUAUAGUUCCCCGAUGGGUUGGUUCGAGCCGGGCUAGGCUAGAUUGUUGGGCACAUACUUGGUUUAGGAUGCCUUGGAGAAGGUUAAGGGCUAGAUUGUUGGGCACAUACUUGGUUUAGGAUGCCUUGGAGAAGGUUAAGGUGAUUCAGGAUAGGCUCCAUACAAACCAGUCCAAACAGAAGAGCUAUGCGAAUCGAAAGGUUCGUGAUGUUUCCUAUAUGGUUGGAGAGCGGGUCUUGCUUCGGGUUUUGCCUAUGAAGGGCAUUAUGAGAUUUGGGAAGAACGGUAAAUUAAGUCCGAGGUUUAUUGGUCCUUUUGAGAUAUUGCGACGUGUUGGGGAGGUUGCUUAUGAGGUUGCCUUACCUCCCAGCUUGGCAAAAGUUCAUCUGGUAUUUCAUGUUUUGAUGCUCCGGAAGUGUCACGGUGAUCCGUCACACGUGUUGGAUUUUAGUUCAGUCUAGUUGGACAAAGAUCUAUCUUAUGUUGAGGAGCCAGUGGUGAUAUUGGACAGGCAGGUUCGAAAGCUGUGGUCAAAGAACAUUGCAUCAGUGAAGGUUCAGUGGCGGGUUCAGUUGGUCGAAGAGGCGACUUGGGAGGCCGAGCAGGAUAUGCCCAGUCGUUACCCUCAUCUUUUCACUACUUUAGGUAUGUCUCUAUGCUCGUUCAAGGACGAACAAAUAUUUUAAGAGGGGGAGGAUGUAAUGACCUGGCCGGUCAUUUUAAGAAUUAAUGCACUGAUACCCUAUUAACUGCUUUCCCCGUGUUUGUUUCUGCUAUUAUGAUUUGCCGGGAUGAUUCACUGUGAUUUUCAGAGUGUUUUAGGACACUUAGUCCCUCAAUGAAAGCUUAAUCUUUAGAAUUUGCUCUGUAGUCGGAGCAGUGUGAAGACAACAUCGAAAUGGAAUUUCCGUCGAUUCCGUUAGCUCUAUUGGGUGAUUUCGGGCUUAGGGGCGUGUUUAGAUUGUGUUUUGGAGGUUCGUAGCUUAGUUAGGCUUGAAAUGCCGAAAGUUGAAUUUUUAAAGUGUCCGGAUCAAUAAUGAAAUUUUGAUAUCGGGGUCGGAAUCCAAUUCCAAAAUUUGGAAUAGCUCCGUAGUGUUGAAUGUGACUUGUGUACAAAGUUUGGAGUCAAUCGGACUUGGUUUGGUUGGUUUGGGAAUUAGUUGUAGGAUUCUUGAAAUUUCAAGUUCCUUAGGUUUGGAUUGGAGGGUGAUUCGUGGUUUUAGCAUUGUUUGAUGUGAUUUGGGGGUUGGACUAAAUUCAUAUGAUGUUUUAGGAUUGUUUGGUAUGUUUAGUUGAGGUCCCAAGGGCCUCGGGUGUGUUUCAGAUGCUCAACGGACCAUUAAUGGACUUGGAGAAGGAUCAGAUUUUUCUUGUUUUUCUGUUGCAGACUUCCCUUCAUCGCGAUCGCGUGAGGAGGCUCGCGAUUGCGAAGGCUUAGAUGAGGCAGAGUGAAUUUUGUUCUACGUGAUCGCAGGAAAAGGAAUGUGAAUGUGUAGUAUUGGUAGAAGGUUGAAUCACGAACGUGUGGGCUAUGCCAUGUUCGCGAAGAGGAAGAAGUGAGGCAGCUGUGGAGUGGGAGUUUCUCUUCGCGAUCGCGUGAGGUCAACCACGAUUGCGUAGACCUAAGCAGUGCAAGCAUCGCAUUUGCAUGGAGAGUAUAGCGUUCGCGUAGGGUAAAUCUGGGAGCCAGCAAAGUUGCUCUUCGCAAUCGUGUGGGGGCUUCCGCGAUCGCGAUUAAGGUCGCGUCUGGGCAGAACAUAAAGUUCAAAAUCGAGGGUUUUGAGUUCAUAUCACAAAAUUGAAUUGGGAGCUCGGUAGGAGACGAAUUUUGGUAAGAUUUUCGAAGGAAGUUUGCGGGUAAUGAUUCUUAUCUCCUUUUUGCUUAUAACCCAUUAAUCUAAACAUGAAUUCAUCUUCUAAUUUCGGAUUUUGGGUGAGAAAUUGGGGGAAAAUUUGGAAAAGUUCUUAGGCCUAAUUUUGGGGUUUUGAUCAAGAUUUUGGUAUUGGAUUGGAGUAAUUUUUGUAUGGUUAAACUCGUGAGUGAAUGGGGGUUCAUAAUCCGUAACUUUUACCCGAUUUCGAGGCGUGGGCCCAAGGAGGAUUUUUGGGUGUUUUUCUAUUUUCUUGCCUUAGCUUCGAUUUCAUUAGAUAAUGUUUACCGUGAAAAUGGUAAUAACAAUUAAAUUUGUUGAUGAGACUCUAAAAAUAUGUGAUCUAUUUUUAUGCUAGUUGUUUAGAGCAGUGGAUGCUAGAUAUGUGAAGAUAAAGGUGAAAUGCGAGCUAAAACAACAUUACAAUCAAACCAAUGAGUUAGCUAUCCGGGCCUCAAGCUAACCGAUGAAGGGCCUUGAGGUCUAUGCCUGGGCUCGGGCUUGAGCGGUCGGGGGUAACCGGGAAGGGACUAAUAGUUAGAAUAUAAUUAAAGGAGGCUUUUUACGCCGAUAUCAAGCAAUAAAUAAAGAAUGGGUACGAAAGCAAUAAAUGAAAGUGGUAGUCUCGAGCGGGUGAGUUAGAGAGAAAAGAGAGAGAGUUGUUAUUUAUAUUGUAUAGAAUAGUUAGAGCAACAGCAGCCCUUUACAAGGUGGUGAGGAUCCCCUUUAUAUAGGAGGAGAAAUACAACAUAGUACAGAAUGCAUUAAUUGUAAAGAUACGGAUAUGGACGGCUAGACAUGAUACCAUACUCUGCCAGUGUUACCUGCUCGCCUUAGGAAUUCCCCAUCCUCGGCAUUGUCAUUAGGUCAAGCGUAAAUGAACAUCGAGGGAGAGAGCUCGACUGCAACCCCACAGCCUCGAGAUCUCGAUAUAACUUCUCGAAGCCCCUUAAUGAUGAGAAAUUGGACCCUCCGAUUUUACUGUAUACAGAUAAAUUAGUUGUUUGUAGUUGUAUUUACGUUAUGAUAAUAAAUUUGAUUAGAUUUGGGCCACCCGGAGUUGGAUACUAGUGGCAAGAGCGUGGUUUCGGAUUGAUUUUGAGCCGGUUUGAGGUAAGUGACUUGCUUAACCUUGUGUGAUGGAAACUCCCCUUAGGAUUUUGGUGUUGUUUGUUAUAUGAGUGUCGUGUACGUGAGGUGACGAGUGCGUACACAUGCAAAUUUUUGAAAACCCCUGUUUUAUUAAGUAAAUAUUUGUGUUUUUUCUUGUAAUUGAGCAUUUCUUGUACUUGAAGCCUCUUGUUUAGGUUAGGAAAAGCAUGCCUAUGUGUUCUAGUUGUUUUACCGUCUUUAACUGCUUACUUGUAUCAUGUACAUCAUGUUUAGUGUAGAAUUCCUAUUUAUUUACGAAUAGUACUGUAGUUUCCUUCUUGCUACUGUUGUUUGUUUACUUUGGGACUACGGGACGAUAUCACGGGAGAUCCCCCUGCAUGUUUACUUUGGGACUACGGAUCAGUAUUCCGAGAGAUCCCCCUGCACAUUUAUAUUUGAGACUACGGGACGACACCCAGGAGAUUCACCUGUACUGGAUAUUUACUUUGGGACAACAGAUUGGUAUUCUGGGAGAUCCUCUGCACAUUAACGUUUGGGACUACGGGACGAUUUCCCGUGAGAUACCCUGUUGCUAUUUCUCUGUACUGAGUUACAUUCUCCCUGUGAUUUUAUUCUCUUUCAACUGUUAGUGCUUUAAUUAUACUGUUACAUUUUAUACUGUCUUACCUCGUUUUAUGUUUAUAACCAGUAGGGCCCUGACCUUCCUCGUCACUACUCGACCGAGGUUAGGCUUGGCACUUACUGGGUACCUCUGUGGUGUACUCAUUCCCUUUGCAGCACAUGUUUUUCAUGUGAAUAUCCAGGUUCUUUGGCCCAACCAUAUUAUCGGUGAGGAGAGGCGACCUUCAGAGACUUUGAGGUAUAUCUGUCGCGCCCGCAGACCGAGGAGUCCCUCUCUAUUCUCCCCUCUAGCUUUAGCUCUCCUGUAUUUACUUUUGUUUUGACAUUCUGGAGUUAGAACACUUUGUAGUUAUUCUAUAGCUUGUGAUUUCAUGAGAUUCUAGGUUUUGGGAUUGUUGUUGUUGGUCGAGAGUGUUAUUAUGGUAUAUGCAGAGCGGCAUUUUAAACUUUUUUUCUUAUAUUUCCC